CGGUGCGAUCAUACCAGCACUAAUGCACCGGAUCCCAUCAGAACUCCACAGUUAAGCGUGCUUGGGCGAGAGUAG
rnacentral:rRNA from 1 species